UCCCCGCAGGCCACAGCGCUGGGACUCCUGCCUUCCCUGCUAUCUCCCUGAGGCAAGGGGUUGGAGGUUAGCACGGAGUGUUUCUCAAUCAUUUUCCACCUUACAUUUUAAGACAUGGUGUGUCACUGAACCUGGAACUCACCAACUCUGCUAGACUGGUUCUGACAAUUGCUCUAGCACAGAUGAACUUUGAGGGCAUUAAGCCCACUGAAAUAAGCCAGUGACAAAAAGACAAAUGUUGUGAUCACACUUAAAUAAGGUAAGUAGACUGUCGGUCAAGCAGGUAGGGGCAGAAAGCAGAACGCUAGCCGCUAGGGGAUGUGGGGAGGGCAGAAUGGGCAUUUGUUGUUUAAUGGAUGUAAAGGUUCAGUUUUGCAAAAGGAAAAGGUGAGGCUGAGGACAUUGCUCUCUAGCAGAACGCUCACCUAGCAUUUCUGAGACCUGAGUUCAAUGUCCAACAGCUCAUGCACACACACAUGCACAGGAGAAAGAAGGGAAAGAAGCUACCCUUUUACUUAAAAAAUGUAUUUAUUUUUAUUUUAUGUGUGUGUGCCUGAGCUGCAAGUGCCCACUGAGUGCAGAAGAAAGUGUUGGAUCUCCUGAAACUGGAGUUACACGUGCUUGUGAGCCACCUGAUGUGCUGAGAGCGGUCCUUAGGCCUCUGCAAUAGCAGCAAGUCCUAUGUAAUGCCUCAUAAUGACUUUUGUUUAGACAACAAAUUAUUUUUUUAAGAUAUUUACACAAAUAAAAGAUAUUUUGAAAAUUCUUAUAGGGCUCGGGUAUGGCUACAUAAAGCCAUGGGUUCCAUCAUCAGUGCAAGAAGAAAUAAAUGAACUUAUAUUUAUCAAAUGUA
ensembl:processed_transcript 5730405O15Rik RIKEN cDNA 5730405O15 gene